UGAAAGGCUCUCAUGAUUCCCUCCGGCAGGCGCAUACCAACAGCAGCCUUCAGAGUCAGCACGCCAGCCACGAUGACAGACCUACCUGCGCGAGGCUAAAGGCGAACGGAGACACAGUUUACCUUAAGUAUCUCAUAGUCCACAGCGCCUUCGAGAUAAAGACGAAAGCAAUGAAACAACUUCAGACCAUGUACGAGAUGCGCCACGAGAACAUCAAUCCCUUCCUGGGUUGCCUGGCGGACCCGUCGCAGCCGGCACUAGUGUGGGAGAUGUGCACGCGAGGUUCGCUCAACAGCGUGCUGGCCAGCGAAGACAUCCGCCUAGACUGGACCUUCCGGCUGUCGCUCCUCAACGACCUCG